AUGGAGUUUGGGCUGAGCUGGGUUUCCUUGUUGCUAUAUUAAAAGGUGUCCAGUGUGAGGUGCAGCUGGUGGAGUCUGGGGGAGGCCUGGUCCAGCCUGGGGGGUCCCUGAGACCCUCCUGUGCAGCCUCUGGAUUCACCUUCAGUAGUUCUGCUAUGCACUGGGUCCGCCAGGCUUCUGGGAAAGGACUGGAGUGGGUUGGCCGUAUUAGAAGCAAAAUCUAACAGUUACCCGACAGAAUACGCCGCGUCUGUGAAAGGCUGAUUCACCAUCUCAAGAGAUGAUUCAAAGAACCCGGUGUAUCUGCAAAUGAACAGCCUGAAAACCGAGGACACGGCCGUGUAUUACUGUACUAGAGACACAGUGAGGGGAGGUCAUCUUUUUUCCCUGACCAGGUCUGAUUGGAUUGUCCUGAGAAACCCAUCACACCCCUCCUCAUCUGAACCUCCAUGA